GACACUAUUACCAUUGCCACAACAAAACGAAUGAAAUCACGCAUCUCUGAACCCAAUUAUCUACCUCUCUGACGAUACCUCUUUAGCCUUAAGAAUGAAGUAAAAUAUUCUUGCUCUCGCCUCUCUCUAAAGGUUGUACUACAUCCCACUAUUUUUCUUCAUCAUGACCCUAGCUCUUUUAAAUUCUAUUCGAGAGGUGUCCCACCAUCUCUUAAAACUUUCCUUAGAACUACAUUACUCACCAAAUAUUAGAAAAUCACAACCUUAGGUACUCGCAAGUCGUAAUUACUACACAAAAUUCGCUUAAUCAACAAUCUCAUUAUAUAUUUGCAUCACAUCACAAUCCACCACGAACUCUUAUUACCAUUAUGCUCAGUCAGCCCUGACUAUCACUACGAAGCCAACCUUUCAUCAACACGACACCUCAAACUCAGGUAUACUCAUCAAAUUCAAAGGACUAACCCAAUUUUUAUACGCACCUUCCUACUAACAUCUUCAAUUUCCUUCGCCCAAGUAUACUCAAUGGAACUUUGUUAUCCAUAAGUUUGUCAUUCCGGUAUCAAUCCAUUCUUUUAUGGCUUAAGAUAAAAUCACCAGUCCUCAUACCACCCUCCUUCUUCUUAACAAACAAGAUAGGAGCACCCCAC
rnacentral:lncRNA from 1 species